rnacentral:lncRNA from 1 species
UGCACCAACCUUAGCAUUAAAAGUUGCAAAAUCAAGAAUUAAUUACCCGCCACCUGAACCAACAGAAACCCUCAACUCAAAAUCAAAACUUUCUUCCACUCAAAAAAAAGGUUUGAAGUUCUACUGGUUUGAACAAAAAAAAAAAGCGAAAAUAAAUCGAGUGGCUCACUGAGAAUUUGGAAAGAAAAUGAGAAGUGGGUGUACCUCCGUCCUGAUAAAAUUGGAAUGCAAUGGUGCAGAACGGAAGCGUUUAGGGGUGGAGAGAUAGAACCCUAAAUCGGGAACGGGAAAAGAAGAGGGCUUUCGGCAGAUUGUCUCUCAAAACCAACGGAUCGUGCUAUGCUAGAGUGCUUGACAGUAUAUUUGCCUUUUUCUUGUUUUGUUUGUAUGCAUCUUUUCUCUCUACUUUUUUCUUUUUCCUU